rnacentral:rRNA from 1 species
AUUGAACGCUGGCGGCAGGCCUAACACAUGCAAGUCGAGCGGAUGAGAAGAGCUUGCUCUUCGAUUCAGCGGCGGACGGGUGAGUAAUGCCUAGGAAUCUGCCUGGUAGUGGGGGACAACGUUUCGAAAGGAACGCUAAUACCGCAUACGUCCUACGGGAGAAAGCAGGGGACCUUCGGGCCUUGCGCUAUCAGAUGAGCCUAGGUCGGAUUAGCUAGUUGGUGAGGUAAUGGCUCACCAAGGCGACGAUCCGUAACUGGUCUGAGAGGAUGAUCAGUCACACUGGAACUGAGACACGGUCCAGACUCCUACGGGAGGCAGCAGUGGGGAAUAUUGGACAAUGGGCGAAAGCCUGAUCCAGCCAUGCCGCGUGUGUGAAGAAGGUCUUCGGAUUGUAAAGCACUUUAAGUUGGGAGGAAGGGUUGUAGAUUAAUACUCUGCAAUUUUGACGUUACCGACAGAAUAAGCACCGGCUAACUCUGUGCCAGCAGCCGCCGCGG